UGUACCCUCAAGCACCGCUUGGUGUUGGGCGCUUGUCCCUGCCCCCGGCAGGGACUCGCCCCGAAUCCAUUGGCAGCCACCGCACCGGGCCAACGAGCGCAGCAGAAUUCGCGCCUCGGGCAAGGAGCGUGGGCGACCCACUGAGCACCCCAUCCA
rnacentral:misc_RNA from 1 species